GGGAGUCAGACUGCACGAGAUAAGUUGGGUGGUCAAAAGGGAAAGAGCCCAGACCCACUGCUAAGGUCCCAAAGUGCGUGUUAAGUGGAAAAGGAUGUGGGAUUUCAAAGACAGCUAGGAUGUUGGCUCAGAAGCAGCCACGCAUUCAAAGAGUGCGUAAUAGCUCACUAGCCGAGAGGUCCCGCGCCGAAAAUGUCCGGGGCUGAAACACGACACCGAAGCAUGGGAAUCAUACACAAGUAUGGUUGGUAGAGGAGCAUUGAUGACGCGGCGAAGCGGUACCGGCAAGGAGCCGUGGAGUGUCAUGAAGAGAGAAUGCCGGAAUGAGUAGCGAGAUUAAAGUGAGAAUCUUUAAGGCCGAAUAUCCAAGGUUUCCGGGGUAAAGCUGAUCUGCCCCGGGUAAGUCGGGGCCUAAGGCGAGGCGGAGACGCGUAGCCGAUGGACAACAGGUUGAGAUUCCUGUACUGCAAUGGAUCAGAACUGUGGGGACACGGGAGGUAAAGGAAAGCCGGGAAAGGAAAGCCCGGUGAAAGCCGAGGAGGCGUAUGCGAGGCAAAACCCGCAUGCAAGCCAGAGCGGUGAGAGGAGCGAAACAAAAGUAGCGAAGUUCCGGAGCCUGCCGUCAAGAAAAGCCGCUAUAGUGUCCAUUGUACCCGUACCGUAAACCGACACAGGUAGAUGAGGAGAGAAUCCUAAGGCCGGCGGGAGAAGCAUUGUCAAGGAACUCGGCAAAAUGACCCCGUAACUUCGGGAGAAGGGGUGCCACAGCAAUGUGGCCGCAGAGAAUAGGCCCAAGCAACUGUUUAGCAAAAACACAGGUCUAUGCAAAACCGAAAGGUGAAGUAUAUGGGCUGACGCCUGCCCGGUGCUGGAAGGUUAAGGGGAGAGGUUAGCGCAAGCGAAGCUUUGAACUUAAGCCCCAGUAAACGGCGGCCGUAACUAUAACGGUCCUAAGGUAGCGAAAUUCCUUGUCAGGUAAGUUCUGACCCGCACGAAUGGCGUAAUGACUUGGGCACUGUCUCAACUGUAAAUCCGGCGAAGUUGUAGUGCGAGUGAAGAUGCUCGCUACCCGCGAUUGGACGGAAAGACCCCGUAGAGCUUUACUGCAGCUUAGCAUUGAAUCUCGGUAUUGUCUGUACAGGAUAGGUGGGAGACUGGGAAACUAGGGCGUCAGCCUUAGUGGAGUCACCCUUGGGAUACCACCCUGACAGUACUGGGGUUCUAACAGGACGCCAUGAAUCUGGUGACUGGACAUUGUUAGGUGGGCAGUUUGACUGGGGCGGUCGCCUCCUAAAAAGUAACGGAGGCGCCCAAAGGUUCCCUCAGAACGGUCGGAAAUCGUUCGAAGAGUGCAAAGGCAGAAGGGAGCCUGACUGCGAGACCUACAAGUCGAGCAGGGACGAAAGUCGGGCUUAGUGAUCCGGUGGUACCUCGUGGGAGGGCCAUCGCUCAACGGAUAAAAGCUACCUCGGGGAUAACAGGCUGAUCUCCCCCAAGAGUCCACAU
rnacentral:rRNA from 1 species